GGAGAUUUGGCUCAGUGGUAGAGCGCUUGCCUAGCAAGCGCAAGGCCCUGGGUUCGGUCCCCAGCUCCG
rfam:Rattus norvegicus chromosome 4, whole genome shotgun sequence.